rnacentral:lncRNA from 1 species
GACACCCUUAGUGAGGAGCUUGAUGAAGAUGAGAUCUUGGCCAACUUAUCCCCUGAAGAGCUGAAGGAACUGCAGUCCGAGAUGGAAGUCAUGGCCCCUGACCCCCACCUUCCUGUGGGGAUGAUCCAGAAGGAUCAAACUGACAAGGCUCCCACAGGAAACUUUGACCAUAAGUCUCUCGUCGAUUACAUGUAUUUGCAAAAGGCGUCUAGACGCAUGCUGGAAGAUGAACGAGUUCCUGUCAGUUUUGUGCAGUCUGAGGAAAAUACUCAAAAACAGCACGAAGUAAGAGAGAAAGGCAUUGCAAGCAUGCCCCAGUUUUUAAAAGAAAAGCUC